ACUUUGUUAAAUUAUAUUAAUUUCAUCGUGUUUACCUUAAAAAUAUUAUCAAAAUGGAAACACGAUAUAAU
rnacentral:sRNA from 12 species